UACGAAGGGAGCUAGCGUUGUCCGGAAUCACUGGGCGUAAAGGGCGCGUAGGUGGCUACUCAAGCGCGCGGUGAAAGCCCGGGGCUCAACCCCGGGUCGGCCGUGCGGACUGGGACGCUUGAGCACUGUAGAGGCAGAUGGAAUUCCGGGUGUAGCGGUGGAAUGCGUAGAGAUCCGGAAGAACACCGGUGGCGAAGGCGGUCUGCUGGGCAGUUGCUGACACUGAUGCGCGACAGCGUGGGGAGCAAACAGG
rnacentral:rRNA from 1 species